ACUUUUUUUAAGUGAUCAUACCCUUCAAAUGCACAAACACUAUUGCAUUGAGACUGCUUCAUGCUCACUAAAAUAGAAACCAAUUAUAUGCGUCAAAUCAUCAAUGGAAUAAAAGACACCAAUACCAGCAUGUACAUGAUCAGGAAGAUAGCAACACGCUGAGAAGUAAAAUCAUAGAAGUAUAAAUAACAGAAUACUUGGGAAAAUGAACAGCUUUUCAACUUUGAUUUCAACAUAAAUUUAACUUUAAAAAAUUCGUAGUGGAAGUGCUAUAACAUCUCCCUUUUUGGACUUGGUGCUAGUUAUGUCAACAACUUUUAACUGAUACUCUUCCCAUGAUCAGUUCACUGACAAUGGUCCCUGCAGACCUCUGGCUUAUUUUAUCCUUGUGCUGCGACAGAAGGUCGCCUCAUUCAAAGAAACAUUGCCAAAGAAACCUUCAUAUGUGCAGCUUCAAGUAGUCCUUUGUCAAGAACAUUGGGUUUCAACUUCAACCAGGAAAAUUAACAGAUAGGAAUGAGUGGAGAGAAAAAGAGCAUCUAGAGCUUCAAUAAAAGCAUCUGACGUUCAAGUUAAGCAUAAGAAACAUGUUCCGCUUCAACAUUACCAAGGAAGUCGGAAAUGCAGAGGAAAUUUCCCUCCAAAAAUUGUGAGAUUGUGUAACAGUACCAAAUUUGGUAUCCAGGAAGCACUUAACAAAUAGUACUUCACAAAAGGAUAGCAUGAUACUGAAUAUUAACUGUUAAGUCCUCUACAAGCAUACAAAUCGAGCCUACUUACAUCUCACACGAUUUACAGGUAAGAGGAAAGAUGUAAAUGUUUUUCAAUCACGUUUUUAUUUUUUACAUUUUAAUUAAUGAAUUUCAUUAGAAAAUCUUCCAGUAAAUUCAUCUUUGGCAUUGAUGAUCUCCAACACAAGUUGAUGCACAUAACUAUAUACACAUUGGUUUAAAACCAUUUUUUUUAAAGAUUUAUAAUCGCUUAAAAGAUGGAGACAAAACAUCAGACACGAACACUGACGUUACACUUGACCAGGAAAAUUCUAAGGAACAGAGAACAGUUUGUAUUAAAUUCAUAAGCAAAUUCACUCCUUACCAAGAAAUAAGUAGAAAUAACAUGAUCGUAGUCCAAAACAUACACUUCCAUAGAGUCUAUG
rnacentral:misc_RNA from 1 species